rnacentral:ncRNA from 1 species
CAAAGUCUUGGUCCUGAACUUGACAUUACUUAAAGCUACCACUACACAUGCUAGUAUCCGCACACCAGUGCCUACGCCUAACCACACAUCAAAAAGAGCCGGUAUCAGGCACCCCACUUAUAGUGGCAGCCCAAGACGCCUAGCACAUGCCACACCCUCACGGAACCCAGCAGUGACAAACAUUAGGCAAUAAGCCCACACGCUCGACCUAGGUACAGCCACACAUCAGAGCCGGUAAACCCCGUGCCAGCCACCGCGGUUAUACGGCGGACUCAAAGUAACUACCAACGGCGUAAAAUGUGACUAGAGACCAAACCUGCACCACAGGGCACACAACCCAGACACAGUUGUAGAACACUCAUGUCUGACCCAAAUCAUAACCACCCACUAAUCAGGCCUGACUUGACCACACGAAAACUAAGACACAAACUAGGAUUAGAUACCCUACUAUGCUUAGCCGUAAACCCAGAUGGCCAUGCAACCAGCCAUCCGCCAGAGAAUUACAAGCGAAAAGCCUGAAACUCAAAGGACUUGACGGUGUUCCACACCCACCUAGAGGAGCCUGUCCUAUAAUCGAUACCCCACGAUACACCUUACCAACCCUAGUCAAUGCAGCCUAUAUACCGCCGUCGCCAGCCUACCCCAUGAGGGCCACAAUAGUAAACAAAACAGUCACACACUAAAACGUCAGGUCAAGGUGUAGCUCAUGAGUUGGCAGAGAUGGGCUACAUUUUCUUAUGAAGAAAAUAACGGACUACAACAUGAAAACCCUGCCACAAGGAGGAUUUAGCAGUAAACUAGGCAAGAAUGCCACGUUGAAACUAGCUCUGGAACGCGUACACACCGCCCGUCACCCUCAUCCAAAACCAACCACCCUAUAAAUAAUAACCACAUUAAAAUCAAGAUGAGACAAGUCGUAACAUGGUAAGCGUACUGGAAAGUGCGCUUGGAAGAU